UGUACAUGGGGUAGGUGUUAUCAGAGAUUGAUAGUAUUCUCUGUGUAAGUGUGUAUACAGAGAUAGCUGUCAGUCACUGGUAGUUGUACACGGGGAAGGUGUUAUCAGUGAUUGAUGGCAUUCUCUGUGUAAGU